rnacentral:rRNA from 1 species
UACAGAGGUCUCAAGCGUUGUUCGGAUUCAUUGGGCGUAAAGGGUGCGUAGGCGGCGCGGUAAGUCGGGUGUGAAAUCUCGGGGCUUAACUCCGAAACUGCAUUCGAUACUACCGUGCUUGAGGACUGGAGAGGAGACUGGAAUUUACGGUGUAGCAGUGAAAAUGCGUAGAGAUCGUAAGGAAGACCAGUGGCGAAGGCGGGUCUCUGGACAGUUCCUGACACUGAGGCACGAAGGCCAGGGGAGCAAACGGG